CCGAUCAGACUUCGAUCAAGAUGUGCAUAUAUUAUCACAAAUUAUAUUUUGGAUUAUUCUAAAGAUUACAUCAGUUUGUGGAACAUCGUAUGGACUUAAUUUUCCGAUUCCUUGUUGGAGAUUAUAGAAUCUAGUUUCUGUGAAAGCCUUCGUUAGCCAUACAUUUUUUGCACGAAGAAAAAAACCACGUGUUUCCACCGCAUAGAUUUUCCAGAAUUUUGUAUACAGGCUGUGAAUUAUAUGUAUUUUAAAUAUUAGUUGGAGACCUUUGUCCGCUGAAGUCGGAUAUUUAUUCCGAUUUGAUGUUUGCCGAAAUGCAGUAAUGAAGUUGUUGGAUGCAACUUUUUCUAUUGGUUGUUUGUAAGAAUGUUGAUGGUGUGAAGACGUUCAAGUUUUGGAACUAAAGGUUAGUGAAAUUAUUUACAUCACUACUUUCGCGUAGAAAAGACUAUUCUUUUGUUUGUUUUUUUAUUUGAGAGACACUUCAACAUCUCACUAGUCAAUCUGUUCCUAAGAUAGAUAAUAUUUUAUUACUUCAUUAAAGUCAUAAUAAAAUUAUUAUUCAACAGUUUUAUUUUAAAAUAAUGUAAAGAGCUCUUAGGGAAUUUAGGUACUUUAGUUGAAACCUCUUCGAGGUGACUUUUUAGCAAGUGUUUUUCUCUUUCAUUUCAAACAUUGUAACGAUAUACUUAUUAUAUUGAUGUUUAUAAUAAAUAAUAUUUGUUUUGGUAAUAAAGUUAUAUGUAUUUACUA